UAUUGGGCGUAAGGGCUCGUAGGUGGUUGAUCGCGUCGGAAGUGUAAUCUUGGGGCUUAACCCUGAGCGUGCUUUCGAUACGGGUUGACUUGAGGAAGGUAGGGGAGAAUGGAAUUCCUGGUGGAGCGGUGGAAUGCGCAGAUAUCAGGAGGAACACCAGUGGCGAAGGCGGUUCUCUGGGCCUUUCCUGACGCUGAGGAGCGAAAGCGUGGGGAGCGAACAGGCUUAGAUACCCUGGUAGUCCACGCUGUAAACGGUGGGUACUAGGUGUGGGGUCCAUUCCACGGGUUCCGUGCCGUAGCUAACGCUUUAAGUACCCCGCCUGGGGAGUACGGCCGCAAGGCUAAAACUCAAAGGAAUUGACGGGGCCCCGCACAAGCGGCGGAGCAUGCGGAUUAAUUCGAUGCAACGCGUAGAACCUUACCUGGGUUUGACAUGGAUCGGGAGUGCUCAGAGAUGGGUGUGCCUCUUUUGGGGUCGGUUCACAGGUGGUGCAUGGCUGUCGUCAGCUCGUGUCGUGAGAUGUUGGGUUAAGUCCCGCAACGAGCGCAACCCUUGUUCACUGUUGCCAGCACGUUAUGGUGGGGACUCAGUGGAGACCGCCGGGGUCAACUCGGAGGAAGGUGGGGAUGACGUCAAGUCAUCAUGCCCCUUAUGUCCAGGGCUUCACGCAUGCUACAAUGGCUGGUACAGAGAGUGGCGAGCCUGUGAGGGUGAGCGAAUCUCGGAAAGCCGGUCUCAGUUCGGAUUGGGGUCUGCAACUCGACCUCAUGAAGUCGGAGUCGCUAGUAAUCGCAGAUCAGCAACGCUGCGGUGAAUACGUUCCCGGGGCUUGUACACACCGCCCGUCAAGUCAUGAAAGUUGGUAACACCCGAAGC
rnacentral:rRNA from 1 species